ACGCUAGCUACAGGCUUAACACAUGCAAGUCGAGGGGAAACGGCAUUAAGUGCUUGCACUUUUUGGACGUCGACCGGCGCACGGGUGAGUAACGCGUAUCCAACCUUCCCAUGACUAAGGGAUAACCUGCCGAAAGGCAGACUAAUACCUUAUGGUCUUCACCGACGGCAUCAGAUGUGAAGUAAAGAUUUAUCGGUUAUGGAUGGGGAUGCGUCUGAUUAGCUUGUUGGCGGGGUAACGGCCCACCAAGGCGACGAUCAGUAGGGGUUCUGAGAGGAAGGUCCCCCACAUUGGAACUGAGACACGGUCCAAACUCCUACGGGAGGCAGCAGUGAGGAAUAUUGGUCAAUGGGCGAGAGCCUGAACCAGCCAAGUAGCGUGCAGGAUGACGGCCCUAUGGGUUGUAAACUGCUUUUGUAUGGGGAUAAAGUCAAUCACGUGUGAUUGUUUGCAGGUACCAUACGAAUAAGGACCGGCUAAUUCCGUGCCAGCAGCCGCGGUAAUACGGAAGGUCCGGGCGUUAUCCGGAUUUAUUGGGUUUAAAGGGAGCGUAGGCUGGAGAUUAAGUGUGUUGUGAAAUGUAGACGCUCAACGUCUGACUUGCAGCGCAUACUGGUUUCCUUGAGUACGCACAACGUUGGCGGAAUUCGUCGUGUAGCGGUGAAAUGCUUAGAUAUGACGAAGAACUCCGAUUGCGAAGGCAGCUGACGGGAGCGCAACUGACGCUGAAGCUCGAAGGUGCGGGUAUCGAACAGGAUUAGAUACCCUGGUAGUCCGCACAGUAAACGAUGGAUGCCCGCUGUUGGUACCUGGUAUCAGCGGCUAAGCGAAAGCAUUAAGCAUCCCACCUGGGGAGUACGCCGGCAACGGUGAAACUCAAAGGAAUUGACGGGGGCCCGCACAAGCGGAGGAAC
rnacentral:rRNA from 1 species